UUUAUCGCGAGAGGUUGGAAAACGAGAGCAGCGUAAUGUGUAUUUUGUUAAGUGUUCGGGACAGGGAUUUUCUUACUAUCCGCUGUGCUUUCCUUGUGCAACAAGUUUGUUUGUUUGUUUGUUUGCUUUUUUUUCUUCCCUUCCUUUGCUUUGGCUUUUUUUUUUUUUGAGACGAUCUUGCUGUGUUGUCCAAGUUGGCCCGGAACUCCUGGGUUCAAGCGAUCCGCCUCCCACUGCCUGUGGAGUAGCUGAGUCUACAGAAGACAUUUUCAACAUAGAAAAACUGAAGCAAAGCUCAUCAUUAUUCUGGAAGUGGGAAGAAAAUAAUACCAGAUGAAAACCUAGAGCUACCCAAAGAGUUCUGGAAAUGGAAAGAUAUGGAUAUUGAAUUGUGAUCUCAUCUACGGUAUUGACGGGGAAGACUGCUAACGUGCACAGAGCAAGAAGCAUCAAGCUACAGACUAUUGUAUUAGUAACCCUACCACACGGUUGUUUGACCCAGCUGCUCAGGUGUUGCUAGAAGUAUCUGUGGUAGAAAAAAUUCCGUAGCAUUACAUAUCGAUAUGUCAUCUAUUAUAGCAUUAUAUACUAUAUUAUUAUAUAUAGUAUUGUGUUAUAUAUUAUAAAUGAUAGCACUAUACAUGGGAACUUCUGUUAAUUCAUAAUGGAAGAGUUGCAGCUCAAAUCUAAAGACACUGAGUAAUCAUAGGACACUACAUAUCCAUGUAGCUUGGCCUUCUCUUUUUGGACUGGGUUAUAUCAGACCCACCAAAUUAUAAAGUCAAGUGGACCCAGCAGUAAUCCAUCAUAAAACAGAAGUAAUAUAUCUGAGAUGAGUUCAUGCACAUCCAUCAUACACAAGAGAACUACCUGAACAGUUUGGUAAUCCUAAUCUUCAUGAAGAGGAAGGACUGCUGUUUCAUAAUGUGAGCAGAAAGACACGUUUGGGCCUCACAUGAUCUGCUGGGACUUCUCUUAGUCUUCCAUUGCCCAACUGAAGUUUAUAUGGGAAACUUUAGUAACUAUAAUCUGAUAAGUAUUUAGUGACCAACAUACAAAACUCCCUAACAGUAAAACAAAUCAAAGAAGAGGAGGAUCUAAAAUGAGUGGUGGAAAGGAAAAUGAUGAGUAUCAAAGCCUAGAAUCAAACACAGUAGCAAGGCUAUAUUCCACAAAAUCAUCUUUUGUAAGUUCUCUCACUUUGCAGCCAACCAGGACCCAGGAGAAGCCAUGCAUAGAUAUAGUGAAUUUAAUGUGAAAAAAUGUGUGAAGUCAGUUGGUGCAAGGGGUGGACUGUAGUGAAUCAUUUACCACUGCACUACUCUCAUCUAUAUUGAUUGGCACUGUAUAGCUGUUUUGUCUUCUAGAAAAUUGUCAUCCUCACCGGGCAUGGUGCCUCAUGCCUGUAAUUUCAGCACUCAGGAGGCUGAGACAGGAGGAUUGUCAUGUGUUCGAGACCAGCCUGGGCUACAAAGUGAGCUCAAGGCCAGCCUGAACUGCAAAGCAAGACCCUGUCUCAAAAAGACAAAAAAAAAAAAGAAAGAAAGAAAAUUGUCAUCCUCUUUGCAUAAGGAUACAAAAAAAAAACUUAUUCUUUCAACAUAGGGAACCAAUUAUAUGGUCCAACUGGUGCUCCAGAGCUUUCUUGAGAAUCAGCUGAGAUCAUAUUCCUGCCAAUGUUUCACUAAUUGCCUCAUCCUGCUCUCAUCCUUCUUCAGAAACUUCUCUCCCAAUAAAUCCCUUAAACAAGAAUUCCUGUAUCAGACUCUGCUUCUAGGAAGUAAACAGGCCUUCUGACUUUGAGUUAGAAGACUUUGGAAUGGAGGCAGUCCUGAAUAUCUGAGGCCUAGAGAUUGGAUACCUGUAACUGUGUUUUGUGUUUCCAGUCCUCAGCUUCUGUACCUGGAAAGGAAGAAUUCUCACUUGAAAAUUUCUUUGCCCCCACCAUCCCUGGGGCAUGUAGUUGGGGAAGAAUACAAACAUCAGGUUAGCUGGUGUCUUCAGCAGCAGGCUCUGGUGUCUCAGGGGCUUUCAGAUAAAUGACACCUUCCUAUUCUUUGCAUUACCCCAGGGAUCAUGGCAGUCACAGCUGCUGAUGGCCAAAAACACAACACUCUCCUUGUGGGUCCCACAGGAGCUGACACAGACCCAGUGGAACUGAGUGGGUCCAUGAUCUGAGACCUAUUGCUUCCUUAUACUGUCUGAAGCUGACUGCACCAAAUAUGUCACUGGCAAACAAUUGUUAUUUAUCACCUGUAAUUGUUUCAAACUGUUGCCCAGAGGUAGGAGAAUGGACCUAAUGACUUUUAGAGAAUUCAUUCACCUAGGCAGCCUAUAAUCAAUACAAUGAUUCUGGGACCCCUGAGGGAAAGUCACAGAGGACUCAUGAGAGUUCUGCACAAACAUCACAAGUACCAUUUGUGCCAUCUGAUUUCUGAUCCCCAAGAUUAUACACAAUCAAGAAGACUUGGAACUACAAAGGAAUUCAAGAGCAUAUUAACCCCUCUUUUAACUGUCUUUUUCCAUUCUCAUCCCAGAUCCACCUGAACUACACCCCAUUGUCCACUCAGGCUCUUAUCCGGUGAAAGUUGAUGAGCAUUCUUGUUUGAGGUUCUUUAAUCUAGUGACCCCUGCUUCAAAUCAUCCCACUUUUUUAUACCAAACUACUGAUAAAUUGUAGAAAUAAGAGUAGGUUGUGCCUUGGACCCGGUGACCAGAACUGACAUUUAGAUUGCUCAGACUCCAGGCUAAAAGCCUAGCCUGAAUCUGACCCUCCUUGCUGCUCAUCUUUCAGGAACAUUUGCUUUGCUGAUGCUUUUGCCAUGAGGAAGUGUGGCAAGCCGGCUUGCUGCUGGCACCUGCCACACUGUAGCAUAACACCAAUACUAAUGGCAGAAAUAAUCACAGUGACAAUGAUGAUUUUGUCUACAUGCACAAGGCACUGGUCAUCUCCCCACAAGCUUCCCAGCCUGGGGCUCAACUGAUGAUGGUGGGGCCUCUGGCCCACAACCCACACUGUCACAGUCACACACUAGAUUCAUCUGAAUGGUUGAUGUUAUUAUUAGAGUCAUCAUAAUUCUUGAUAAUUAUUAAUUUAUUCUUGCAGAGCACAUUUACUGAAGACAUACUGCAUGCCAGGAACUGUGCAAGAAUUAAUAUCAACACUUUCAAGAAGUAUUCCAAGUGAUAGAGCACUUACAAGGCCCUGGUUUCAAUCCUCAUCACUAGAAAAACUGUAGUCCAUUGGGAGAAGACAGAAUGGCACAUAAUGACAUUAUAAUAUUCAGCAGAUUGAUAAAGAUGAAUAGAUUCUCAGUGCAUAGAAAAAUGAUAGGAAAUAACCCUCAAUAAACGUAUGGAUGACUAUUGAAUGAGCUAAAGUCAAAUGAAUAUACAAAAAGUUAUAGAAUCUUAGAGUGGGAAAGAAAGUGAUUUUAUUGGAAAGGAAUUAAGGAAGGCUUCCAGGGGACAUGAGCUGAGCUCUAAAGUUGAAAAAGCAGCACAGUGUACUGAUUGAGAGCAGGCCAUCUAGAUCCAGAUGUCUGGAUUUGAAUGCUAACUCUGCAGUUGGUAUUGAACUUCUCUGUGCUACCCCUUGGUUGCUCCAUCUGUUAAAAUGGGUUAUAUAAUGGGGCUGGGGAUUUAGCUCAGCGGCAUAAGUGCCUGCCUUGCAAGCAGGCAGUCAUGAGUUCGAUCCCUGGUACCGAUAAAAAGGAAAAAGACAAAAAUAAAAUAAAAUGGGUUAUAUAUUGUAGUUUCCUUUUUUUUUUUCUGUUUUGGUGAGGCAGAGCUUCACUAUGUAGUUCAGCCUGGCCUCAAAUUUACAGCAAUUCUGCCUCAGCCUCCCUAGUGCCAGGAUUACAGACAUGCACCACCAUGCCUGACCUGUAGCUUCCUUAUAGAGUUGUAAAGAUAUCAUGAAUUGAUGUUUGUAAAGUGAUUAUAUAAUUAAAUAUACAUGCAUGUCUAAAAAAUAAAUCUACUGUCUAGGAGCCUGUCAAACUAACAGAGAAGAAAGUUAAAUGCAUACAGACGAGCCUUCCAACCAAUAGAAAGGUUUCCAAUAGGAUGGCAUCCUCAAGAAUGGUAGGGAAGGCAGGUGGAUAGCAGGCAAAGAUUUGACUGAGUAUCUCAAAUUACUAGGGUAAGUGGAAUGGUAAGUAAUUACUUAAAUUUUUUUUGUUUGGCAAUAACUAGAUUUAUAGAAAAGUUGCAAAAUAGUGCUUAACAAUCCAAUAUAUGCUUUAUUCAGUUUCCCCAAAUAGUUAAAUCUCAAAAGGAGCCAUUGCUUUUUAAGGAAGAACAGGACACACACAGCCAAGUACAUAUUUUAGAAAGCUUGUCAUAGCAGUUUUAAGGUAGAUAAAUUUAAGAGAAAGAAAGUUGGUCCCAGCAGGUCCAUGAAGGGGCUGUCAGCCUCAUCCCAAAGGACUGCAAUGCAGUCAGGCAGGCCUGGGACAAAAAAUAUAAUAGUUAUUUGAUAUUUAUUGACUACUUUUUUCUUUCAGUACUAGGGAUUGAACACAGGGCCUGUACAGUAAGCUAUAUACCCAACCUUUUUUUGUUUUGUUUGUUUGUUUGUUUGUUUGUUUGAGACAGGGUGUAAAUCACUAGGUUGCCCAGACUAGGCUUGAAUUUGAGAUCUACCUGCCUGAGUUUCCCAGAGUGCUGUGAUUAGGGAAAUGCAGCACCACACCCAGCUGCAUACUUUUUGAGUAAAUCAAGACAGUCUAACUCCUGGGCACAUAGAGUUUACAAAUGCUAAUUCAGAAGCACUUUGGAAAGUCUGUCCCAUGGUCAAACAGCUUCUAAUUCAAUGCUUGUUUGUUUGUUUGUUUAUGGAGAUGGUAAUUGAUUCAAUCAAUAUAACCUAACACUAUAUAGUUUUUAAAAAACAGCUAAAGCAGAAGUUGCACACAUGGUGUCUGCUCUAUACUAAGGCGUUACGAGUGCAAGAAACAGAAAUGCAUGCAUGCCAGUCUUAUGAAUGGUGGUUUGUAGUAGAAAAAGACAGGGAGGCUGACCAAACCCCACACAUGCACACAGGAAGUAUAGUUGAUGUGCUCUGGAAUUAGCAAACGAUCAGAGACAGUUCCUGCUGUGGCUGUCUCUUAGGGUAUCAGGAGUUCUUGCCUCUACAUUUUUCUGCACAUCUCCUCCAAUCUCCUCAGCAAAUUAGUCUCCUCUGUUUUCACAUUUCUUUUCUUUUCUUUCUUUCUGUCUGUUUCACUAUGCAGUUCAGGCUGGACUUGAACUCACUAUAUAGCCCAAGUUGGCCUCAAACUCACAGCAAUCCUCCUGCUUCCGCCUCCUGAGUGCUGGGAUUACAGGUAUGUACCACCAUGCCCAGCUCACCCUCUUCUGGUUACACCAGAAAUGGGUAGCUUUACCCUCCAGUACAUGCAGUUGGCAAGAAUCUGAUUAAUUCAGUGUAGGCAACAAGCUAUCUAUCUAAUUAUCAGUAACUGAGGGAUACAGAGGUCUCUGCCUUCUGGAAGAAAAUAUUCCUGGGACAAAAAUUAAGUGUAUCUCUAAAACAUAAUCUUUUCCCUGAAAUUAAAUAAAACUGAUGAGUAUGUCAAAACAUCUGUUAAUGUGAGUGGAAUGUCACUUUUGAGAGUAGGAGGCGCCUGGAUGUUUAUUCCAGCCCUAGAAACACCCCUUUCCCCGGAUGACCCACUGAUAACUACCUCUAAGCUCAAUUUAUAGAAUUCAGCCCCCACCAGGAGAUCUGACCAUAUCAAAAACAAGGAUCAAAACCAUUUUUAGCAAUUUAAAAUAACUUGAGAGUGGGCAAAACUUCUGGACCUAUGUCAAUAGGAUAGGAUAGGACUUGAGGUGGAAGAGGAGGGCUGCUUUGGGGGGAAUAAUGUAUUCUUUUAGGAGCAACCACCUGCACUUUCUUUCUCUCUUUCUUUCUUUUUUGGUGCUGGGUAUUGAACUCAUGACCUUGGGCUUGUGCAUCAGGUGUUGUACCACUGAGCUAUAUCCCCAGCUCCCAACUGUGCUUUAUAUUGUUAGUGGUAUUUCUUGUGGUAUUUCUUAGCAUUAUGUUCGCUAAAUGUAUUGAGUCUUCAUGGAAAGGCUGCAGAACUGACAUUUUUAUCCCCAUAUGCAGCUGAGGAAAUUGAGGUGGGAAGUGAAGUAACUGAUCCAAAGUCACCCAACUAGCUGCUGAUCUAAGAAUGGAACCUAGGCCUUGUGGACAGCUAGCCAAGAAAUCCACCAUGCUACUCUCCCUGGCUCUGAUUUAGGGAGAAAAGUCAUUUCUGGAGGAGAAUAGAGAGACAGGCAAAGCUCACAGGUGGCCAGAGGUGCAGAGAGUUAUCCAGCCUCUCACUGGAUAGGCUGAUGAGACUGGUCGGGGACUGUACAGAAUGAAGAAUCGAUCUGCUAUUCCAUGUGAAAAUGGAUUGUAGCCCCAGCCUGUGUGUGUCAAUGGAGCUGAUUAGCACUUGCGUGAGUCUCCAGCCAUCGAUUGGCAAGUGAGAAUCGUUCUGGGAACAGCAGGGAGCCAGCCCUCUCCCACCCCCAUUCAUACCAGCUUCCCCCUUUCACAGAGAUUCUUUGUGCCCACCCUAUCUAUGCCACCUGAGUCUCUAGCCUUCUCUAACCCCCAUGCUUCAUGGAUGCCCAGAGCUCCUGUAGUUAUUGCUAACCUAAAGAGCGCAGCAUGACUGAUAUCUACCUAAUUCAGUCAAUCCAGGUGCACCUGGGAGAGGAAUGGAUGGCCUUCAGAAAAGCACUGCCUGACUUGAAGAUAUAACAUGGAUAUGUGGGUGCAAUAUUCAUCUUGGAGCUUAUACCAUGUGAAGGAAAAGGCAAAGGUUCUGCACACAUAAAUCAUGUAGCCCUGGGUCAGUUGUUUGCCCCUUUAGAGCCUAGUUUCCCUAUGUAUAUGGGAUCAAAACUAGCUGUCUCAGAAAGAAAGCUUUCUCACUGGAUCAUUUGGAUUAAAUGAAGAAGUCUAUAAAAAUGAAGUAUAUGUAAAAGAUCUUUGCAGUCCCUGGCAUAUAGCAGAAACUAAACAUAUUAGUUGGAAAUUGACUCCCCAUUCUUCUCAAGAGGCUCCCACUCUGUUUGACCUCAUUUCUAUCUCUAUUUUCAUCAUUUGAGUGUAAUACACAAGUGACAGCAAAACUCUCUUUGACCUGACCUGGAGCAAAUCUGCCUUCAAAGAAGCUCAGCCCAUAAUGUUGGGUUGCCUUUGAGGAAGUAAACUGUCAAGUUCCAGCAAAAGAACCGACAGGCUCAGGUUCAUCAGAGCCUCCCCAAGGUCCAUCUGCACCAAAAGGUUGCAUCCUAAGCUUGGCACAUGGUAUUUGGGGGCUGCGCUGGCCAUUCGUCACUGCCUGUCUGUGGUCCCUUCUAUUACCCCCAAUUGUACCAAGUCCAUGUGUCAGGCUUCCUUUAUUAGUUUUUCCUCCUGAUCCCAUCAGGCUGGAGUUCUGCCCAGUUAGCAGAGGUCCUGAUCUUGCCAGACUUCUCCCCAGGGGUCCAGAUUUGUCAACUAAUGGUUGGCUUCCUGCCCCAAGUGUCGAAGCCAUCUGUCACAAGAACUUGACCUCGGCAAUGUCUGGGUUGUAUACUACAUAACCAAUUAAGUCUUUGAUAGUGCAGACAGAAGAGAGCAUCACCUUGGAUCUUCAUACAUGCAGAUUAUGACUACAUUAUAGGUCCUGAGGUAGACUAAUAAGGCCACAGUAACAAAUGAAAAUCGUACUCAGGACCAUGAACAGAUGCCACGGGAGGAGGUUGCCUGGGGUUGAAGAUGGUGGCCUUAACCCUAAACUGAAACACUAACAGAAGCAUAUUUUCAGUACCAUGGACAGACACCACCCUCAAAGGACAGUCUUCAAGGACCUGAACAGUGAAACAUCCUUCUGAUUAUAAGAAAUGGAAACCUACCUCGAACUAACACAAGCUAAUAUUUGCAUGAGUUGGAUGAGUGAGAUGGAGCCUCUGGAGGCACUGAAUGUCAGGCUUGUUGUGAAAAACAGUUUAAAGUUAUAGGGACAUCUUCUUUUACCUUAAUGCAAGAUGUGGUUACUUUAACAAAUAAUUUAACUAUUCAAAUUAUUUAUUUCUUUCUGAAUGAGUUUGGCCUAUUGAGGAAAACUAUAUAUUUUUAUUCCAGGUGUUGGUAUAAAGUUGUUUGUAGUAUCUCCCUUUUUCGUGGUACUGGGGAUUGAAUUCCCAGGGUCUUUGCACAGUUACAUCUAUUGUAUCUUUUCUUUUCUAAAAUGGAGUCACUAAUUUGUAAGUUUCCAAGGCUGGGAUUGGACCUGUGACCCUCCUACCUUAGAUUCCCCAAAAUAUUGGGAUUACAGGUGUGCCAUGACAUCAGUUUAUUUUUCUUUUAAUUUUUUCCAGUUCUAUACAGAUAACCUUCUCUGGUCCUUGGUAUUAACAUUGGUAAUUUUGUUUGUUUUUCAUUUUUUGUGUUAGUAAUGUGUAUCUUCUCUUUCUUUUUCCUGACUAGUCUGGCUACAUUUUUACCAGUUUCAUUGAUGAGUGUAAUGUGUGUGUGUGUGUGUGUGUGUGUGUGUGUGUGUGUGUGGUACUGGAGGUUGAACACAGAGAUGUACUGCCACUAGCUACAUCCCUAGCCCUGUUUUUAUUUUGUUUGAAACAGCAUCUUGCUACAUUGCCCAGACUUGGCUUAAACUUGCAAUUGUCUUGCCUCAGCCUCCCUCAGUACUGGGAUUAUAGCCAUGCACCACCGUACCCAGAUUCAUUGAUUUGUUUAACAUCUUUUUCUUGCAAUUGUCUCCUUAUUCCAAUUUAUAGCAUUAUCAUUUUAUUUUUGUUGCAUCUUAGAGGCAUUCAUGCCCUGCCAAGUGAAUAUUUCUAAAACAUCUCUUUCACCAAGUGUGGUGGCACAUAUCUGUGACCCCAGCACUAAGGAGGCUGAAGCAGAAGGAUCACCAUGAGUUCAAGGUCAGCCUAGGCUACAUAGUGAGUUCAGGACCAACCUCUACCUCAUAGUGAAAUUCUGUCUCUAGAAAAAUUAAAGGUUAAAAAUCCUCUCUUAUUUGAAGACAAAAGACAAAUGGUUUCUUAUUUCUUUUGAAUAAUUUCUAGGCUCUGCCCACUUUACAUCAAGGACCUUCUCCAGCAGUGACAAUCAUUUCCAUCUCCAUAGUUUCUCAUACUCUUCCUCUGCACAAAUUCACUUUUUUCCAGCCAAAUGGGUUCAUUUGUCAUUCACAUAAAAUAUAAAUGAUUUUUCAGUGCCAUGCUUCUACAACUCUGCUGAGGGAAGAAUACCAACCAGACUCAGAGACUGAAGACCAAGAUUGGAAAUGGUAGUUAUUACAGUAUGGAUCAUCUGACCUCAAUUACUUUGUCUGCAAUAUGGGGUAAUAAUGCUGCAUUGCAAAGACAUUCGUAAUUUAUUCAGCAAGUGCUUGUUAUGAAAAUAUGCCCUGAGGCUUUCCUAUAUAUAUACACACACAUGUCCAUGUGAGUACAUGCAUGCCUAUGCAUGAGGGGAAGAAAUGCUGAUGCUCCUGUCAAAGGGUUGUGCCCUGAAGACAAAUACAAAGACUGAUAAUGGAAUGUACUAUGUGCUCACUAUAUAUAUUAAGUGACCACUCUGUGAGGUUCAAGGCACAUAACUGUGCAGACUUCUCUGCCCUAAUGAAGUUUACAUUUAAUCUGUACAACCUCGUCUUAUGCUCAGUCUUCUAGAAUUCACAAUUGUGGGCUGCAUUUUGAUUCAGGAAAUCAAUACAUGUACAUUGUUUUAACAAGUCAACUUGUACUACAGUACAAAAAGUAAAAAAAGUCAACUAGUACUACGAGUACUAGUUACAAAAAUAGAGUACUCUAUACCUUACUCAAGUCUCAUUCCCUAAAGCAAGAACUUAGUAUUUUAGGUGAAUCUAUGUUUUAACCUCUAAAUAUUCUUUUUGCUUUUGCUUUGUUUUGUUUUUGGUACCAGGGAUCAAACUCACAACCUAGCACUUGCCUAGCACUUGCCAGGCAGGCGGUUGUGCAGUUGAGCUAUAUCCCUGCCUCAGCCUCCCAAGUGCUGGGAUUAGAGGCAUGUGCCACCACACCUUCUUGACAUAUUUUUUUUGAAACAGGGUCUCGCUGUGUAGUUCAGUCUGACCUUGAACUCACUACAUUGCCCAGGCUGACCUAGAACUUGCAACAGUCCUCCUGUCUGAGUUUCUGGGCACUGGGAAUACAGUCAUAUGCCACCAUACCCAGAAAGUUAAAUCAUAUUUUUGUAAAAUCAAUAUUCAAUGUUUGCUUUUUGUAUACAUAAUUUACUGAUGAAACUAAUCUUGCAUUAUCUGGCUUAUUUAGAUAUUUUUCUUCCCUUGUGAUAGUGGUUUUGUCUGGUUGUUGCUUUGUUGCUUUCCUCAUUUCCCUAGUUUUUCAGAUCUUUAUCUAAAUUUGUUCCCAAACUCUUCAGUAAAAUGCAAAUGUCUUCCAAAUGUUAAUUUCCAUGCAAUGAAUCCCAUCAGGUAAUCUAUUAAACCACUUGAUAUUUCUUUUCCUAUAGGAGACUCUCAAAGUCUUCCAACUUUCUCUGGGUGUUCUACACAGAACUUCUUCAGAAAAUUCUUUUAUUAUUUUUAGAAAUCUGGCCCCAUUUUCCUAGAUCCUAUAUACUUUUUUCCUUCGUGGUUUAGUCUUUUGUGUGUAGUUGUUUUUUUUUUUUGUUUGUUUGUUUUUGUUUUUUUGGAGGGUGUGCAAGGUGUUGCCUGGGGACUGAACCCAAGGACCUCACAUUGAGCUACAUCCUAAGCCCUUUUUUAUUUGGAAACAAAGUCUUGCUAAAUUAUUAAGUGGCACAAGAUGAGCUUGAACUUGUGGCUGCCUUGUCUCAGCCUGCCUUUUGGUCCUUUUUUUGCCUUUUGUUUUAACAGAACACAUUCUUGGCCUUUUGUCUAAGACCAUGUGUAAUAAAACACAUGCUUUUGUAGCUUCCUGAGAAAGAAUGCACGAUGCUUGUAAUCCCAGGACUUGAGAAGUUAAGAGGAUCGCCAUGAAUUCGAGGCCAUUUCCUGUCUCAAAAAUUACAGGGCUCGUUCUGUCCCUGGAGGUGGAGUCUGGGGCCUGUCACUGCCUGUGCCUCCUCUGGCCAAGUCUAGCUGAGGACAGCUUGUGUGAGGAGGGAGGCAUGCAGCCCCACUCUGAGCUGUCUGAGAAGCACAG